GAUGAGGUGGCUGGGCCGUUGCUGAAGCCAUUGGGCGUAGACGGGGCACCGUGGAUGGCCGUGGGUGAGUGGCUGCUGCCGUUCAUCACUGUAGGAGAGCGGUGGGUGUGCGAGCGUGAGGGCAAGGUAUAACAACUGUACUUGGUGGUUGCAAGUACGCAACAAGGACGGUGCCCCAUAGGACAGCGACGACGACGACGACAACGAUGAUGGCCGGUGUCCUACACAGCUGACGUUCUGUUCCUGCAACCAUUCUGUGCUCAUGGGUCUUACACAUUUUUAUAGAUAGGCGAACUUGUAAAGGGAAGGUGACUCUCUUUACCUCAGGUACCUCAGAAGGAGGGUGGCAGGGCUCACCCCCGGGUACCUCAGAAGGAGGAUGGCAGGGCUCACCCCCAGGUACCUCAGAAGGAGGGUGGCAGGGCUCACCCCCAGGUACCUCAGAAGGAGGAUGGCAGGGCUCACCCCCAGGUACCACAGACAGGAGGGUGGCAGGGCUCACCCACAGGUACCCCAGAUAGGAGGAUGGCAGGGCUCACCCCCAGGUACCUCAGAAGGAGGAUGGCAGGGCUCACUCCCAGGUACCUCAGAAGGAGGGUGGCAGGGCUCACCCCCAGGUACCUCAGAAGGAGGAUGGCAGGGCUCACCCCCAGGUACCUCAGAAGGAGGGUGGCAGGGCUCACCCCCAGGUACCUCAGAAGGAGGAUGGCAGGGCUCACCCCCAGGUAUCCCAGACAGGAGGGUGGCAGGGCUCACCCCCAGGUACCUCAGAAGGAGGGUGGCAGGGCUCACCCCCAGGUACCUCAGAAGGAGGGUGGCAGGGCUCACCCCCAGGUAUCCCAGACAGGAGGGUGGUAGGGCUCACACACUGGGAGUGUCUACAGGGACAGACAUUUGUGGAGCUGGCUUACGCUGUCCCUGGGGGCUACCCUGAGCCUGACCUUCAGGCCAGCUGAUAUUCUAGAUGCCGCAGACGCCCAGUUCAUCCUCCCCAACUGGCUCAGGUUUCCACUAUGGGCAAGCCACAGGGCGUCUUCACCCAUGGUGUGGGAAAUGAGAAGUCACCCCCAUCACCCCAAGAAAAGGCUGGCAACCCAGCCCCCCUGCUCCCACAGCCUCAAGUAACACCUUCUACCCAAUCUCCUUCCCAACUCUGAGCAAUGUACCCAGAGCCUCUCCAACCUGGACCCUGAGCCUCUCUAACCUUGAGCAACACCAUUGCCAGCAAAUCGGUCCAAUGGGACUCAACAUCAGCAGAGCCUGAGACCCCCCAGGGGGAGAUGGUUGGGUUCUUCAGGGGGUUUUGACACAAGAGACUGUGUCCAGGGGCUAACUCAUGCCGAGGACAAAUCAAGUGACCAACGAGACAGCAGAUAAGCGUGCUACAGGAUCACAGCUGCCAGUCACUAAGCCCUGGCUGACUGGGUAGCCCCGUCAUUGGCUCAGCGUCCCAGGGCCAAGGCCAGGGGCUGCCACUCAGCCCUCUCAGCCCUGAGGGACAAAGGUUAAAAGCUGAGGUGGUGGGCCCUCGCUAUGAUUUGCAGGGUCUGCAGACAGGUCAGAGAUCACAGGUUACAAAUGCUACCUCUAGGCGUACAGACAUGUUCCCACACCUCUGGCUCAUACAACUGUGGCUUCUGUUUGUGUCCUAUGCCCCUGACCUUAGGGAUAUGCCACUGUCUCCUGCCUUGGCGGAAAGUACACAAGCCAGGUGUACUGGGAGGUAGCCAAAGGGCUGGGCACAGACACGUGAGGUGGGGCUUUACCGGAGUCCCUCCUUCCUGGCCCUCAGAUCUCUGUGGCUGCUAUGGUUCUUGUAGGAUCCUGUCAUACCUCUGCUCACACUACAGAAUGGGGGGGGCAGAGGGCUAACCCAACUCUGUCAGUCUUAUGCUUUCAGUCUGUCCUUGUGGGCCCCGUAUAGCCUUCUCUUGCUAACUCGUGCAGUGGCUGGCUCCAUCUUGUGCAGAUCCUGCCCGAGGCUCUAGCCCAGAUAAACCCCUGGGGCUGGGGCUAGUGGCCUCCCCCACAAACAUCGUCUUGAUCCUCAUAGACCGAAGUAAGCAGCUCGUAGGUUGAGCCAGCUGGUGGCCCCCAACUGUCCUAUCCUAGGGUGGAACCCCACCUUCCACAUGAGUUAAGACAAGACCCAGCCAAGAGAUGCUCUGGCAUGGUGUGGGUGUGGCUGCUGGUAUAAUUCCCUCAGAGAACACCCCUCCCUGUUCUUCUGUCCUCACCCGCAGUCUGACAGUCACCUGCUACAAGGGUUGUGUUCUCACAGGUCCUCAGGCAUCCCCAUUUCAUAAAUCCGUGAGGGUCUGGGGACAGCACCUGUCCAGAUAGGUCAGACCUAGGCCUGGUGUUGGUCUCUCUAUCUGCCAGUGGUCCCAAGCCAUUCUGAGGUUUCGAGGUGGGCUUUAAGGUCAGAGCAUAGCAGUCUAGCUCAUUUCCCAAGCCAUGGCUUCUAGAGCCUGUGUAUGACGCCAGCUUACCUGGACGUCGGCCCUCAUGAGGUCACAACCAUGACAGACCCUACAUGUUGGUUAUUCUGGGAGGCACCCUUUGAUAGCCGCUUCUGAGGACCAGACGUUUCAAAGCACGUGGGGAGAGACGUGCAGGAUCCAGGGUACCUGGUAUUUUUAUGCUGCCACCAGGAAUGGCAACCCUCUGCAUUUGGUCCUAAGUGGCUCCCCUUUCCUGGUAUUGGGGGGGCAUACACGGAUGCUGAAACCUCCCAUUUGUCUCCCCCAGAAUGAUCUCGGGAGCCCCUUCUAGGACCGAGGAUACACAGUCAGUUCCAGAAUGACUGCAUGCUCGUAGAGGCAGGCAGGCAUAAGCACCAUGUCUGGAAGCACCCCUCUUGCUCUGGGGUGGUCAUUGAUGUCGGCACACAGCAUCCUAACGACUCCAGGCUCCUAGGCUCUUUAAGACCAUAUCCAGAGGACCCCACUGGGAGGAUUUCCCUCUUCCUGGUGAGCUCUGACAGCAGCAGCCACCGCCGCCACACACGCCCCAGUCAACCCUAAUGACAUCCACUUGCUGUCACCUCAGCCAGGCCAGGAGAUGGCUUGUUGCCACGGAGACCUCACUAAUAACUGUGGACUUGUGUCUUAAGACCGAGGGUUCUAUCACCAGGACUCUGGGCCUUCUGGUAGUUUCUAAGACAUGCCGAUGGAUACAUUGUCUAGUCCACGCCACCCACCGGACCCAGCCUGGCCUGGCCCUGUCCUCCCUGAGGCCCGCUUACCAGCCUUGCUCUGAGCGCCUGGGUCCCCCGUGGCCCGUUCGCCUCACUGCCUGUCUUCCCUCCCGAGGCUGCAGGGCAGUCUCAGCAGCUAAAGAGACGCCAAAAAUAGCCCCCAGCACAAGUGUUUUCAUUACCACAACAGGUGUGUUACUAAGUUAGACCGUACACGUGUCCUCGGCUGAUGUUUGGGGGCACACGCUAGCACCCCCAUUACUCCCCUCAGCCUUGAUGCUUGGGUGGGAAUUGGCCUGGGGCACAUAGACCCCGAUAACAGCUCUUCCACCCUUUCUCCCCGACACGGGGAACAGCAGUAUCACCACGGCAAGAAUCGGCCAACAGUUGAUGGCCAGUCAGGCUGUGUGCCAGACUCCAGUGUGUGGCCAAGCAUGGCACAGCAAGAGAGAUAACACAGAACACAGGCAACCCAUGUAACCUCUUCCUCAUUCUUAGAACCCGGCCGCACACACCUGGGAUAUACAGCUAACUGGCCCAGUCAAGGCUGCCGCCGCCAGGGGACAAGUAUUCUGAGUGUCACCCCGAGCUCUGGUGGAAGCAUACACCAGUGACCGAUGUCCACAGAGCAUGUGGUGUGGCUUAGACAAGGCAGCGCUCCAGACUGUGGUAGCAUCGCUUUGCAGGAGGGGAAACUGAGGCACAGGCAACCGUUCCCUUCCUGUCGUUAGCAACCCUGCCAACAGUGGGAGCUAGGGCCUUUUAAAACAGUGGAUUGUGACUUGUCGUUGACGAGCGUCCUACUGUCUCCUCACAGCCCUGGCAUCUGCUCCAGUCAGCCUGUCUGGCUGGUGGAGGUGGGGCUGGGGGUGGGGAUGAAGCUUAGUAGGUGUUUGCAUGCAAAGGCCCCACAGUUCCAGCACGAGGUCUGAGGGUCUCGGUCUCUAGCCCUAGGCCCCUGGGCCUCUCUUGUCUUUAAGGAUGCUGGAGAUCCAGCAAUAGGAGUGUAGAGGCCACGAGAAGGACCCAGGUGGCCUUCUUGAAGCCCUCGGUUCUUGUUAUUCUACUUACAGAGACAGACCAUGGACCACUUUAAGCAGCCGUGGAAACGGCCGUGGGGUAGAGACGUCGCAGGUCCAUCCUCGCCAUCUGUAAGCAAAAUAAGAAGAACAGGCUGUCAGGAGGGAGCCCCAGCGGCUGUUCCCUCUGCUGCUUAGUGGCAGUCCUAGAGACCAUGCUGUUGCCACUGGGGGCUGGUCCACUCCUCUGGGCCUCAGUUUUCUCCUCUGUAAAAUGGGUCGCACUGGGUUUCUGUCAGCAGGACACUUAACUUGUAAAGGUUGUCUUCCCAGAAAGUGCUCCCUCAGCACUGUCCUUGAGGGACCUGAGGGUCCAGACUGUGUGUGUUCAGCGACAGAGAUUCAGUCAGGUCUGUUAUGUGAGGUGGGGCUAUGUCAGCGGAUGCACGUGGUAGCUUCAGGAGUAGUGAACCCCCUGCCUCAGAAACUUGCAAGGGCAGAUGGGAGCUCAACUCACUUACAGGCUUCCUGUCUGAGAGGAGUGUAAACUGGGUCAAUGCUUCCCAGGUCUCCACACUCAGCCUCCUGCCUAUCUCCCCAGCCACAGACCAAUCUGUGCCCAGGGUGGUCACUGGGCCAGGAAAACCACAGGCCUCAAGUAGGUUCAAGGUCAGUUCUCUACAUUUGGCUUGGAGCACUGGGCAGGAAUCUGCAGCCGGCUGCAGAGGCUUUACCAGGGCUGCCACCAGCCAGGUGCAGGGGGGUGUGGUUAACCACGUGGAUUAGGGACGAACCUGAGGUGACCCCAGGAGGCCUGGGCCUCAGACAACAACUACCCCCAAGACCUGAACCCCGAAACCCCCACGCACACACAACUGGAAGUGUCCGCUAAGAGAAAAACAAAAGCCUUGUGCUCUACAAAGCUGCGACCCCCAGGGUGCGACUGAGGGGCAGGAGGGACACAAACCCUCCCCAUGGAACACACAUGUUCUGCUCACCGGCGCAUCUGUUUACAAACCUCAGGAGAGCAAAGCCUCGAUUUGGGCCCCAGCUGACCCCAUCCUCACUCUAAACCAGAAACAUCUGGGGCCCUGGGUAGCUUUUGAGAUAAGAGUUGGUCCAAGGGGGAAACGCAGGCUGGGGAAGGCUCAGCCUCAGGAUGGGUGAUAGCCCAUCAUCCAAAAGCAGCCCGUCGGAUGCUCUGUUCGUUCCUGCUCAGGGCCCCCAAACCUCUGGAGGACCCUUGUUUCAUGGCCUCAUGGCUGGGAGAGCAUCUCCUACAGAUGAUGUUGUUUCUAGGUUAACGCAUUGGCUGGUGACAUCGGCGCCAUCCCACAGAAUCCCCUCACUGUCCCCUCAGAGUCCUCAUCACUGGGUGAGCUCCGAGGCCAGAGUCUACCUGUGGCUCAGCCCAGAGGGAAGGAUGCUUAGGGAGGGACGCAGGGUGGCUAUGCCAGCUGCAUUGUUGAGGGAGGAGGAGUGUGAGAACAGGCAUAGGUAUCUUCAGCCUGGAGGAGCAUGGCGGAAAGGCAGACCCAGGACCUGGCAGGGCCAUCUGUCCUCGGAGAGCAUCAGGUUGCUUAGGGGAGAGAUCCAGCUACAAGAGGCAGGGCUAGGAGUCCUCACUCAGGGCUCACCCACUGAUGGGUGCUGGGUUAACUGUAGGAAGUAGGGGGGGGUAGCACCUCCCAGGAGACUGGAAGGUAUAUAUGGUUAUCUACACGAGACAACCUGCUGUGUGCUGGCCAUUUCUCAGAUGAACCUGGUUCCAUGCGGCUAUACCUGGAAGCAGGAGCCCGGAACCCCACCAGUAGGGAUAUGGCUAGCCUGGGACAUGGCUAGCCUGGGACAUGGCUAGCCUGGGACAUGGCUAGCCUGGGACAUGGCUAGCCUGGGACAUGGCUAGCCUGGGACAUGGCUAGCCUGGGACAUGGCUAGCCCGGGGUUGAGCUGCUCCUUCCUUACCUCAGCCUUUCUCUAAGCAGCAAAGCUUCACUAAGAGCUUUAACUCGAAGGGCAGAGUUGGCGCUCCGUGUCCAGGGAUGAAGAGGCCAGAGGAAGCGUACAUGCCCCGGAAAGUAGGUGACACCAGGCUGAGUUACUGAAGCCUCUCCCACAGAGAGGGAUCUUGCUUCAGUGUGAGAUCUGAGGAAGGGUCCCUCAGGUACAUGUCAUCAAGGGUUGCAAUGGGGACGGCAGCGCAUGGCUUCUUCUCCCUACCAGAACACUUGGGGCAAACUCUUAAACCUCUUCCUUGGGGGAGGGCGAUGGGACGCUGGCCCCUCUAGUGGCCCAACCCUGGGAAUUUCCCAACUGCUCAGUUUAAGAUGCAAUCUUUUGAGGGAAAGAGGUGGCUAUGGAAGAGAGACAACACUCCUGCGCUAGGCUCCCUGGAGUCCCCCACGGUGGCCUCUGCUCUGUGCCGCUGAGCUGAGUUUAAGUACCUGGGGCCUUCGGACAUCAGCGCUUGUAGGCUGGUGCUAAUGUCUGGUACCUUACUUCCUUUUCACAAUGGCUGUAAGGCAGGGACCCCAGCAGGCCCCCACUC
rnacentral:sRNA from 1 species